UACGAAGGGGGCUAGCGUUGCUCGGAAUCACUGGGCGUAAAGCGCACGUAGGCGGAUUGCUAAGUCAGGGGUGAAAUCCUGGAGCUCAACUCCAGAACUGCCUUUGAUACUGGCGAUCUUGAGUCCGGGAGAGGUGAGUGGAACUGCGAGUGUAGAGGUGAAAUGCGCAGAUAUCAGGAAGAACACCCGUGGCUAAGGCGGCUCUCUAGUACGGUACUGACGCUGAGACGCGAAAGCGUGGGGAGCGAACAGG
rnacentral:rRNA from 1 species